GACGAAUGCUGGCGGCGUGCUUAACACAUGCAAGUCGAACGGUGAAGCUCCAGCUUGCUGGAGUGGAUCAGUGGCGAACGGGUGAGUAACACGUGAGCAACCUGCCCCUGACUCUGGAAUAAGCGCUGGAAACGGCGUCUAAUACUGGAUACGAGAAGGGUCCGCAUGGGCACUUUCUGGAAAGUUUUUCGGUUGGGGAUGGGCUCGCGGCCUAUCAGCUUGUUGGUGAGGUAAUGGCUCACCAAGGCGACGACGGGUAGCCGGCCUGAGAGGGCGACCGGCCACACUGGGACUGAGACACGGCCCAGACUCCUACGGGAGGCAGCAGUGGGGAAUAUUGCACAAUGGGCGAAAGCCUGAUGCAGCGACGCCGCGUGAGGGAUGACGGCCUUCGGGUUGUAAACCUCUUUCAGCAGGGAAGAAGCGAAAGUGACGGUACCUGCAGAAGAAGCACCGGCUAACUACGUG
rnacentral:rRNA from 1 species